CUUUUAUGUACAUAUAUUUACCGUUUUGGUCAGUUAAGGCUGCUAUAACAAAUUAUCAUAGACCGGUACAACAAACAUUGAUUGUAUCAACAAACAUUUGUUUCUUACAGUUAUGGAGGCGGGCAAGUCCAAGAUCAAGGAGCCAGCAGAUCCAGUGUCUGGAUGCUGGACAGAAAUCUGCUGAGAGUGAUAUGAUUAUGAUGUUAAUGGUUUGAGACUUUGAAGUCCCCAAACCACAAGGGCAUAAUAACCUGACUUGGAGGAGAAAAUCCUGCCCUGGCUGGAAGCCAAGGGGACAGCUGACAAGGAACACAGCCUCGGCUUGCAUGUUUGUUACUGGCUUCCUGCUCUGCUCCAUGGCAUCCUGCUCUGCUGACCACCCACUCUAGAAGACCAGCCUCACUGCCCAUCUCCAGACACUGCUGCUGACUGUGAGUGAUCAUUGUCUCCUCUCCCCAACCCUAACUGCUAAGCUGUGCCACAGGUUAGGCAUUGAUUUAUGGCUUGUUUGCUGUUAAAACUAGCCCACAUAAAAAGGAAAGCAAUUUAAAUAGUACCUUGCUGUGAGAGUUUUUAUCCUUUCUUAACAGUUCUCUUGGACAAAAGAACUGUGAGAUUAAGGCAGCACUAUACCUCACUCCCCACAGAGCUAAAUUGCUCUGUGCCCUACCCAAAGGGCCAUCUAUCAGAGGGCAUAAAGCAUAGUGGUUGGGAACAUGCACUUUGACAUUAAUAGAAUAAGGUUCCCAGCUCUGCCAUUUACUACCAUUUACUAGCUUUAUGACUCUCAGGCAAGAUGCUUAACCCCCUUAGGCCUCUGCAUUCUCAUCUGCUCAGCACAGUGUCUGGCACAUGUUAGUUGCUCAAUAAAUAGGAGCUGUUAUCAUCGUUAUUUAGACUUUUUCACCCAGAGGUAUAAUCUGCCCAGACACCCUAUCACAAACUGGGGUAUAGUUCACCCAGAUUAGAAAAUUAUUACCUCUAUCCCCAUCCCCUCCUUCAGCAUAGAGAUCAAUCCCUGGGUAGUGACUUCAUUCAUACUUAGUUACCCAUCCACGUAUUUCUAUAUAUGGAAGUCAAAAUGCCCAUUUGUUCUUAACAAGUGCC
rnacentral:lncRNA from 1 species